GACGAACGCUGGCGGCGUGCUUAACACAUGCAAGUCGAACGGAAAGGCCCUGCUUUUGUGGUGUGCUCGAGUGGCGAACGGGUGAGUAACACGUGAGUAACCUGCCCUUGACUUUGGGAUAACUUCAGGAAACGGGGGCUAAUACCGGAUAGGAGCUCCUGCUGCAUGGUGGGGGUUGGAAAGUUUCGGCGGUUGGGGAUGGACUCGCGGCUUAUCAGCUUGUUGGUGGGGUAGUGGCUUACCAAGGCUUUGACGGGUAGCCGGCCUGAGAGGGUGACCGGCCACAUUGGGACUGAGGUACGGCGCAGACUCCUACGGGAGGCAGCAGUGGGGAAUAUUGCACAAUGGGCGGACGCCUGAUGAAGCAACGCCGCGUGCGGGAUGACGGCCUUCGGGUUGUAAACCGCUUUCGCCUGUGACGAAGCGUGAGUGACGGUAAUGGGUAAAGAAGCACCGGCUAACUACGUG
rnacentral:rRNA from 1 species